GCUCAACACCAAACCCGAAGGUUUGAGGGAGAAAUGACGCUCAAACAGGCAUGCCCUUUGGAAUACCAAAGGGCGCAAUGUGCGUUCAAAGAUUCGAUGAUUCACGAAUAUCUGCAAUUCAUAUUACUUAUCGCAUUUCGCUGCGUUCUUCAUCGAUGCGAGAACCAAGAGAUCCGUUGUUGAAAGUUUUGACUAUUAGUUAAUCAGUUGACUUAAAUAAAAAUUUGGUUGAGUUUAAUCUCUGGCAGGCCAUGGGCCCACCAAAGCAAAGUUUUCAAAAAAAAAGAAAAACACAUGUGUAAAAAAAUGCAGUUAAGCACUUUCAUUCUGUAAUGAUCCUUCCGCAGGUUCACCUACGGAAACCUUGUUACGACUUUUACUUCCUCUAAAUGACCAAGUUUGACUAGCUUCUCGGUUCCAAGAUGGAGUUGCCCCCUUCUCUAAACCAAUCCGGAAGCCUCACUAAGCCAUUCAAUCGGUAGUAGCGACGGGCGGUGUGUACAAAGGGCAGGGACGUAAUCAACGCAAGCUGAUGACUUGCGCUUACUAGGAAUUCCUCGUUGAAGAGCAAUAAUUACAAUGCUCUAUCCCCAGCACGACGGAGUUUCACAAGAUUUCCCAGACCUCUCGGCCAAGGUUUAUACUCGCUGGCUCCGUCAGUGUAGCGCGCGUGCGGCCCAGAACGUCUAAGGGCAUCACAGACCUGUUAUUGCCUCAAACUUCCAUCGACUUGAAAUCGAUAGUCCCUCUAAGAAGUGACUAUACCAGCAAAUGCUAGCAGCACUAUUUAGUAGGUUAAGGUCUCGUUCGUUAUCGCAAUUAAGCAGACAAAUCACUCCACCAACUAAGAACGGCCAUGCACCACCACCCACAAAAUCAAGAAAGAGCUCUCAAUCUGUCAAUCCUUAUUGUGUCUGGACCUGGUGAGUUUCCCCGUGUUGAGUCAAAUUAAGCCGCAGGCUCCACUCCUGGUGGUGCCCUUCCGUCAAUUCCUUUAAGUUUCAGCCUUGCGACCAUACUCCCCCCAGAACCCAAAGACUUUGAUUUCUCGUAAGGUGCCGAUUGCGUCAAUAAAAGAACAACAACCGAUCCCUAGUCGGCAUAGUUUAUGGUUAAGACUACGACGGUAUCUGAUCAUCUUCGAUCCCCUAACUUUCGUUCUUGAUUAAUGAAAACGUCCUUGGUAAAUGCUUUCGCAGUAGUUAGUCUUCAGUAAAUCCAAGAAUUUCACCUCUGACAACUGAAUACUGAUACCCCCGACCGUCCCUAUUAAUCAUUACGAUGGUCCUAGAAACCAACAAAAUAGAACCAUAACGUCCUAUUCUAUUAUUCCAUGCUAAUAUAUUCGAGCAAAGGCCUGCUUUGAACACUCUAAUUUUUUCAAAGUAAAAGUCCUGGUUCGCCAAAAAGGCUAGCCAGAAGGAAAGGCUCGGCUGGGUCCAGUACGCAUCAAAAAAGAUGGACCGGCCAGCCAAGCCCAAGGUUCAACUACGAGCUUUUUAACUGCAACAACUUUAAUAUACGCUUUUGGAGCUGGAAUUACCGCGGCUGCUGGCACCAGACUUGCCCUCCAAUUGUUCCUCGUUAAGGUAUUUACAUUGUACUCAUUCCAAUUACAAGACCCGAAAGGGCCCUGUAUCGUUAUUUAUUGUCACUACCUCCCCGUGUCGGGAUUGGGUAAUUUGCGCGCCUGCUGCCUUCCUUGGAUGUGGUAGCCGUUUCUCAGGCUCCCUCUCCGGAAUCGAACCCUUAUUCCCCGUUACCCGUUGAAACCAUGGUAGGCCACUAUCCUACCAUCGAAAGUUGAUAGGGCAGAAAUUUGAAUGAACCAUCGCCAGCACAAGGCCAUGCGAUUCGAAAAGUUAUUAUGAAUCAUCAAAGAGCCCGAAGGCAUUGAUUUUUUAUCUAAUAAAUACAUCCCUUCCAAACAGUCGGGAUUUUAAGCAUGUAUUAGCUCUAGAAUUACCACGGUUAUCCAAGUAGUAAGGUACUAUCAAAUAAACGAUAACUGAUUUAAUGAGCCAUUCGCAGUUUCACUGUAUAAUUGCUUAUACUUAGACAUGCAUGGCUUAAUCUUUGAGACAAGCAUAUGACUACUGGCAGGAUCAACCAGAUAACUACAUUAGACACUCAAGAAGAGUGUAAGGAAGUUAUUGUGAUUGCAAGAAACAUAUAGUUUCCGGUGGUGUCGUCGCGGAAAGUGUUUUACUACUCUCUACAACUAGCCACAUCCAUAUAGCCCUCUUUAAGUUCUCCUGGUGUGACUUCCGCUAAACACUGCAAGAACUUAAUCCCCACAGGUUUAACAUGGCCAACCAUGGAGGGAGUUACGCUUGAGAAAUCACAGAAUUGCUUCCGGCUAUUUAACAAGGCAGACCCCCAAAUGGUUUUAGUUGAAACACUUGCUAUCAGCUAGUAAUCCACUAAAUCCGUCAGUGCUUACACACGAAAUCGUUAGAUAUCCGAUGUAAGACUGUUCAGGCUUGUUCCCGUAAAAGAAACUCGCCCAUGUUAUUGUAGCGUAUAGAGCAGCUUGUGAUUGUGCAUCACUUACAGACUCUCUCCACUCAAUAACGUGGCCUUAAACAACUGGAAAUGUCUUGACUGUUGUUGUCAAGACUGUUUUCCAAAUUGUCUUUCUGCUUUCGCAUAAAUAUCCUUUCGCUCAAAUCUUGAGUGCAACUUUCUCGCGUAACCUACUCUUCCAAUCCUACAGUCUAAAAAGAGCUCUUUUUUUUGCUUUUUUUUUCCCCAGGAGAAAAUGAGAGAAUUUUCAAAAACAUGAAAAAAGGUGCAAAAGUGGUCAAAAAUGGCAAAAAAUUGAAAAAUUUUGUAAAAAAAGGCCAAAACUAUGGUAGCGCAGAAAAAAAGAAAUGGGAAAAAUUGGGCUCCAGUACGGCCUAGUGUGAGACCACACCAGAAAUGGGACGGCAUUUAGGUCGAUACUUCGGCUCUAGUGUGGACAUCGUGCUAACUUGGUACGACACAAAAAUGUGGUACCGUGGUGGGUCCUCAACCCAAUCAGGUCCACUUUAGGGCAGUAGUAAACAUAGAAAAUUCCAAAAGUAAAGACACUCUAGAUGGGUUUUGUAAUAGGUAUAUAUUGAUGAAAAAAAGAAAAGAAAAGUUUGAGAGUUUGUUAUGCCAAUGGUGUGGUACGACCACUGUACGAGCAUUGUACCAUCUUCGUGCGAGCUUGAUACAAAAGAGUCUCUCAACACUGUCCGAAAAAAUUUUUACUUGUCAGUAGAGUGUAAGAAUUUUCUUUCUUACGACAAGGUCACGUUAUCUACCCCUACCUAGCAUAGCUACAUGAAAAUGAGAGUAUUUCGGUUGCGGCCAUAUCUAGCAGAAAGCACCGUU
rnacentral:rRNA from 1 species